CAGUAGCCAGGGAAUACAGAGGGUGCGAGCGUUAAUCGGAUUUACUGGGCGUAAAGCGUGCGUAGGCGGCUUCUUAAGUCGGAUGUGAAAUCCCUGAGCUUAACUUAGGAAUUGCAUUCGAUACUGGGAAGCUAGAGUAUGGGAGAGGAUGGUAGAAUUCCAGGUGUAGCGGUGAAAUGCGUAGAGAUCUGGAGGAAUACCGAUGGCGAAGGCAGCCAUCUGGCCUAAUACUGACGCUGAGGUACGAAAGCAUGGGGAGCAAACAGGAUUAGAUACCCCUGUAGUCCCUGUCUCUUAUACA
rnacentral:rRNA from 1 species